rnacentral:rRNA from 1 species
GUAGGUGGCAAGCGUUGUCCGGAAUUAUUGGGCGUAAAGCGCGCGCAGGCGGUUCUUUAAGUCUGAUGUGAAAGCCCACGGCUCAGCCGUGGAGGGUCAUUGGAAACUGGAGAACUUGAGUACAGAAGAGGAAAGCGGAAUUCCACGUGUAGCGGUGAAAUGCGUAGAGAUGUGAAGGAACACCAGUGGCGAAGGCGGCUUUCUGGUCUGUAACUGACGCUGAGGCGCGAAAGCGUGGGGAGCAAACAGGAUUAGAUACCCUGGUAGUCCACGCCGUAAACGAUGAGUGCUAAGUGUUAGGGGGUUUCCGCCCCCCUUAGUGCUGCAGCUAACGCAUUAAGCACUCCGCCUGGGAGUACGGCCGCAAGGCUG